rnacentral:lncRNA from 1 species
UUGAAUAUGUCGGGUUAGAGCAUCUAUCACUAAGGCAAACAAGAGCGGACUCAGCGCCGAUCCUUGAUGAAGCCCCAUAACCACUGGAAAAUGGUCUGAUUCGCCACCCACCGUCCAAACCCUAGUCUUAGCUCCAUUGUACAUGUCCUUGAUUACAGGGGCUCAGCGCCGAUCCUUGAUUAAGCCCCAUAACCACUGGAAUAUGGUCUGAUUCGCCACCCACCGUCCAAACCCUAGUCUUAGCUCCAUUGUACAUGUCCUUGAUUACUCUGAUAUAGGCUUCCGGCACGCUCUUCGCCUCCAAGCACCUCCAUAGCACCUCNN